ensembl:lncRNA
GGUUCGUUUAAAUUAAUUUGCUAUGGCCAAGCGCUGGUGUUGCAGCACAACCAGUUCUUUGGCUAUUUUUAAGCCUUGGGUUCUGCAGUCUCUCCCGUGGUUGUCUGGGCGCAGCUGGGGCAGAAGAGGAAGCCACCCCUGCUGGUCUAUGAGACUUUGUGCGACCUAACCGGCCUGGCGUGUUAAGGUGCCCUAUAAGUGAAGACUGAGCAGCUCUGUGGACAUGGCUGAAGGAUGUGUGUGGUCUGAUGAAGCUGAGGGGGAAGUUCCAGCUAAGAGGACAGGAUAACACUGCCAUGGGGGCCCGCAGAGAGCUGGAUGGAAUGGUCCACUCAAAGUGGGUGAGCGAUGGGGCUGAAGCGACCAAGAUGGGGCCAUCUGAUGCCCCAGGUCUACCAGGAGAGAGGAAACAGUGGAUGGAGACGACAACAAGAAUGGCCCUGGCUGCCCUAGGACACCAUGUGGGAGAGCUGCUAGCUUGAAGGUAUUGGAGACCUUUAUGUUCAAGGGGACUUUGUUUGUUUUGAGUAAAUAUGGGGGGUUUAUUUAAAAAAGUGCUUUUGCUAACCGGUGUGUUAAACAUAAUAUUGC